GGUGCAGUAGCCAAGUAGUAAGGCAGGGGUCUGCAAAACCCCCAUGCGUGGGUGCGAUUCCCACCGGCACC
rnacentral:tRNA from 1 species